UACGUAGGGCGCAAGCGUUGUCCGGAAUUAUUGGGCGUAAAAGAGCUCGUAGGCGGGCUUGUCGCGUCGACCGUGAAAACUUGGGGCGUCAACCCCAACGCCUGCGGUCGAUACGGGCAGGCUCGAGUUCGGUAGGGGAGACUGGAAGUUCUGGUGUAGCGGUGAAAUGCGCAGAUAUCAGGAGGAACACCGGUGGCGAAGGCGGGUCUCUGGGCCGAUACUGACGCUGAGGAGCGAAAGCGUGGGGAGCGAACAGG
rnacentral:rRNA from 1 species